CGCGGUGUAUCCAAGCGGACGAAGGGGACGGUCUCAUAUCCCGUCGCGCGAGCCACCGCAGGUUCGAAUCCUGCCACCGCGUCCA
rnacentral:tRNA from 1 species